UGCCUUUCACUGUCUGUAAAUCUACCUCUCAAAUAAAUGAAUAAAAUAUUUAAAAAAAAAGGAAGAGAGAAAGCUCAUUAGGAUGCAUACAUUCUAGCAUAGCUUUUUAAAAGAAAGUUGGAGAUUUUAAACAAAUUAAAUAGGCUGGUAUCAUUGAAGGAAUUUUCUAGAUUUCUUUUAUAAUUUCUGUUAAACUGUAAUCCAUCGUUGGGUGUUAAUAAAGACUAUGAAUUAAUGUACUCUAACAUAAUUUUAUUGAACAACUAUCAAAUGCAAGAUACUGUGCUAACUUCUGAUGAUUGUAAAUUUAAAAAUGACACAGGCUGUAUGCAACUAAUUGGAUUGUGGUUGUAAUGCAACACAAAGAAGCCCAGACCAUGCAAGGUGGAUAUUCUAGGAAAGCUAGUAAUUUGAUGUCCUUAGAAACUACACACACACACACAUUUAUUUAGCAUGGAAAUGAUUAUUAUUUACCAGGAUUUUUUUUUUUUUGGUAUUCAUUUAUGCCCUAAGCUUUAAUGAGCAAGAUUGAUUUAUAUGAGUAUUUUUCAGCUAUUUAUGGAAUGGCAUAUGAGUUGCUAUGGUGUCGUUUAAUUGCAAUGAAAGCCCAUCUUAUAAAUGUUGUUGCUUGGGCCAUCUCCGAACUGGCCCAGCCCUUAAUCCUGCUCUUUAGAGAAGAAUGGAGUUUACGGAAAUUGGGGAAGGGAGACUGAGAAGGGAAAGACUAUUUCUGAAUGGAGACUGAGUCAGGCCUCCAGUUUUAAAAUGUGGGAAACCCAGAACUAGGAAAGGGUAGAUGUGUCGGAAAGAUAGGGUAGCAUGGGAGAAGGCAGGCCCAAUCAAGUUAAGGUAAGAGGGCUACAAACUGCAAUGUACAAACUGACAAUGAAAGCACCUGGGAUAAUAUGGAGACCAAGUAAGGUCUUGUGAACUACAGAUUGGGAAGUAUCAGUAUGUUCCUAAAUCUGUACAUAUACAAUACAUAAAAUUUGUUCAUAUUAUAUAAAUAAAAUUAUUAUUAAAAAGUCUGUAUUUAAAGGAUAAAUAUUUUUAGAAGUUUAAAUGCAAUUAUUUUAAUGGCAAGAGAAAAUACAAUAUCUAUUAUAAGAUACAAUUUAUUUAAUGUAGGGGAAUAAUAAUGUCUUCAAUUUGGGCUGGGAAGGCUUUACAAAUGUUAUAUCAUAGAAUUUCAGGGGAACCAGAAUUAUUAAGAAAUUCAAGUAUUAUUGUCCAGACUUGGCUCACCAAUUCAGAGAUUUCACAGAUGUAUCAAUGUAAGUUGAGUGAAUGUAGCAUAAUUGGACAAUGAAAAAGAGAUAAAUAGAAUCAUUUAUCUCUAUGAUUCGUGGUGUAUAAUAUUGUAUGAUUAGCAUUAGACUGGGGACCAGUCUUACAUCAACUUAUAAUAUCUCACUACGUGGAACAAUGUUUUCUAACAUCUAUUCAUAUAAAUUAAAAGGCAGAUCUGGUCUUUGUAUUCUUAGAUAAAGAAGGUUUAAAUUAUAUAACUUACAUGGGUUCAUAGUGACUCAGUAUUAGUUAUAUGAAACUCUGUAGUGGUUAGGUUUUGGACAAAGCAGUGAGAUUCAUUAAGAGUCAAAAGUUUAAGAGAGAAAAAUGACCUCAAAUUAUGAAAAUAAAUUCUUUACUGGUUUUGUGCAAGCAUAUUAGGAAAAGGAGCUAAAAUUCAAAUAUUAUAUUUUGUCACCUUAUCAAGACAGUUUAAAGUACAAUUAAUGGAAAAAACUUACAGUUAAACAGUUUAACACAUUGUAUAUAUUUAAGAAGCACAGUUUGAUAUUUAAGUACAUGUAUAAAUGUGUAAUAACGAUCAAAUUAAGGCUAUUAGCAUAUCCAUUACCUCAAAUAUUCUUAAAUUUUUUUUGUAGUGAGAACAUUCAAAAUCAUCUCUCCCAGCAUUUUGAAGUAUACAUGUUAUUUUUAAUUAUACUCUUCUUCCUAUGCCAUAGUUUACUAGAGCUUAUUCCUCCUGUCUAACAGUAAACAGAUCUUUCUUUGCCUCCAAAGGAAAUUCUUAGAGAGUUGGAUGUAUUAUUUUCCAAUGAUGGAGAUAAUCUUGUCCUGAGCUGCACUCUUUUAUCUAGGCCUUUUUAUGUUGGGCUAGGUUAACACUUAUAUUUUAGUUAUCUUUUUUUGUAAAGCUAAUAUGUCCCUAUAGGAAUUAAAUUCAUGUCAUUGGCCUCAUUGGCACCAUGGUGCUAUGUGUAAAAUCAAAUAAUCCAGCUUUUGGAAUCAAUUAGGCCUUUAUUGAGCUAUUUUCUGCAUUUGAGAGAUACUAUAAUUGAAUAAGAUGAUUAGAAAAUGGAUAAUAUCCAGAGCUACAUCAUCCAAUAUGGUAGCCUCUGGCCAUAUGUUUCUAUUUAAGUUUCAAUGUAAAUUAAUUAAAAUUUAACUUAUUUUAAAUUUAAUUUAUUAUAUUAAAUUUAAAUUAAAAAUGCAGUUGCUCAGUCUCACUGGCUGUAUUUUAAGUGCUCAGUGGUCGCAUGUGGCUAGCUGUUAUCCUAUUGGACAAUACAAAAAUAGAACAUUUUCCAUCAUUAGAAAGUUCUGUUGGAUAGUGUUAUCCAGGAGUCUGGCAAUUAAGUGUUGACAUUUAGCUGCUAUUGGAAGAUUUGAGCUGUUUAGCCUGACAAAGAUAUUCUUGGAAUAUAGAGUAAGUUAAUAGUCAUUAGAUGGAAGUAGGAGUAUGGUAAUCCUUCUGCAGUUUCAGAAAGGGCCAACUAUGUUAGUCUCAGGUUAAAUUUUAGCAGGAAUGAUUUAGAUGAGAUAUUUUAAAGUCCUUCCUACCUGUAAGAAUCUGAAGCCCUGGAAUAUACACAAUAUAGAGAAGAUGGCAAUGUCUUCUCAGUUGUUGAUGAAAACAUGUAAGACAAUGGUUUCUAACAUUCUAAUGACAUUUCUAACAUUUUAAUGACAACCAUAUCCAACUGCAUAGAUAUUAUUUUAUAAAAGUUAACUUUCCAAAACUACAUCAUUGUCCCUUUUGAGUAUAAUUUUGCCUUUGGUGUCUGUUGAUUGAGAAACCACCAGGAAACCAGCAGUUUGAAAUCGCUAUGUAUAUACUGUUAAAAAGUAUUUAGUGUUUGUGUGACAUUUUAAUUGGCCCUAGCUAAUUAUUGGGUCUCUUUUAGUAACUUUGAGCCUUGCCACGCAGAGGUGUAUAGUGGGAGCCACUGGUGUACACAUUCAUUUUGCAAAGGGGCCAGGGAAUCCAGGAAGUUUGACCAGAGGGAGAGGUAGAUGAAUUUUCAGUGUUCUUUCUGGACAUCAACUUUUUAUGAUUAAUUACUUAUACUCAUAUCUUUGAAUUUUGCUUCUUUUUUCUGGCCUGUGUCCAGAUUUUUACCAAUUUGAUCUGAAAUGAAAUUUUUCAUUUGAUCUAAAAUCAGACUGUUGUAGGCUUUCAAACGCUCACCCAUAGCUUCUCUUGUCUUAUCUUCAGUACCCUUAAGAUCAUUUUAUUAAAUAUAAAGCCAGUUGAUCUCCUUUAUCUUACAUGCCUAUUGGGUUAAGUGAUUUGCACACAUUGUACACCUGGCAGGUCCUUCAGUUAUGAACAUUUAAGCAUGAAAAUCUUCAGUUCUUUUCUUAGUCAUGCAACCUUGAAUUCCUUGAGAACGUGAUUGUUUCUUUCUUUUUUUCUUUAAAUCUACAUUAAUAACAUAGGUCUGUGAACAUCUCAUUGAGAAGGAUUAGCCCUUAGGUAAAGAGGGAUUUGGAUUCUUGACUUCUGCUCAUCAGGCCAGGAUGGGGUGUUCAGGACCAUUGGUUAAGGUUAUGGGAAAGUUGGUCAUCCUGUGUGUAAUCCCAUGAGGACAACAAAAUCUGUUUGGGAAGCAAUUAUGAGGGUUAAUUUUCUUUUAAUCUGCUUUAUUCUCGGGACUGGAUUCUGGCAGCAGGCAAACAGAUUGCACAGUCCAGCCCAAGCAGCCUGCAUCAUGGUUCAGUGAAACCCUAAAUCCCUUCAAUCACUUUAAGAACAAUGUUUCUUUCAGAAGUGCCAAAGGCACUGUGUUGUAGAAAUGAACAUUCAGGUCAUCUUAGCUAUAGGAGUAGCUUUGUUUGUAUCUAGAGAGGAAAUAUUUUUCUUCUCAUGGCUCUGAUGUGGGCUAGGAAAACAGUCAUUUUCUUAACUAACUGGACUACAAAGACAUUCAGCUGAGGAAGCUAAAUCAUCCUUAAGUUUCUAGUGUUAACAACUUAUUAAAAAUGGAAAGUGAAAAAAAGUACAGUGUAGUUUAAGGCCCAUUUAUUGAGUGCCUACUCCUUGGCAGGCCCCAGAAAAACAGUGUUCUUUAAUAGGGAAUCCAAACAAGUCAACAUACAGUUACAACAUAGGGCAAUAAAUUUGGCAGUAGACUUAAACAGAGAUCCCCCAUGGCAGCAAGGAUGUGAGGGACCCAACCCAACCUGUGUCACUGAAUGGGGAGCUAGGAAAAAGGAAGCCUUUCUGGAAGAUGUAGUACUAAUUGUGAUUUUUUUUCAAAGUAAAAGAGAUGUAGUUGGGGGAAAUUGAGGCCAUAAGGAUAUGCUAUGAUGUGUGCAGGGUGCUAAAAUGUGUUCUGUUCUGAUAGAUCACAUUAGCAAAUUUUUAUGCGUCAGAUUUAAAAACUAAGUAUGUCAGUAUACUUUCCCUGAAUUUCACAUUGAUAGUCUCUUCUGAAGCCCAAUAUACCAAAGAAAAAUAACAGAAACAAAAUACAUACAAAUGUACUCAUAUACACAUUUUUCAAAUGUUAAGUAAGUCGGUAUUCUGAAAACAAUAAAGAUAGUGCUUGAAAGAGGCUUGGCUAAGGUAAAAAUUAAACCCACCUCCCAAUAAUGUAGAGCUGCAAACUUGUCAGAGACACAAUGAGCAAAGAAAGAACUUUUGAGUUCUCAUCAACUUGAAAAAACCAGGAAUUUUCUUCCAACAACCUCUCAGUUGACGUAAGAAGAAACACUUCUCAUCUUGAUGAUCUUGGUGCAGAAAUAAGUGUGGAACCAGGAGAAAGAACAAUUGUUUCUUCAUUUAAAUGGGGUAGCUUUGUUGUUUUGAUGAUGGGCCUUUGUGGCAGAUAGCUAACCACUUCCAUGCUUAGUUUCAAUUUUAGCUUGCUGCCCUUAAUCUGCAACAUAGUCUUGGCCUGAAACACUGCCAAGAAGAAGAAGGAGAAAAGGUGAUCUGUGUAAAUAGAACUCCAUCCUGUUACUUAAAGGAUUUAGACAUUUUGGUCCUUCAUUAGCAAACCUUUUCAAGUGUGGGUCCCAGCACAUGUGUAAAGGGCCAUAGGCUUUUCUAGGGUUAUUUUUGGAUUUUGAACAAAUUUGACAAUUUCUACAGCAUGAGUAUCUCAUCAUUUCUUUAAAACCUUAGGACUAGAAAUACAUAUCACUUUAAUUCCCUUUGUUUCAGACUGAGAUUUUCAUACUGGUCAGAAGAGAACAUUUCCCUAAAGCAACAAAUUUUUAUAAAGCCAUGGAUAAUUUUUGUUUUCUUUCUUAGCACAGCAUGAGGAGAAUUGGAAAACUCUUAUGAGAACUGAUAAAGUGUACAGAAUAUGUUCCUUGUUUCUUGGCAAAAGAAGCUUCUUCCAUCAUAAGUGCUGUGGUUGAAAGAAACAUAAAUCCAUCCCCCAAAGAGUCCAAAACAUAUUUGGAUUCAAGUGGGCAAGCCCCUUUCGUGGUUCUGCUUGAGUGGGGUCCUGUGGUUGGUUUGGGUAACGAACACUUUCCCACAGUGGAAGGCUUAAGGGUUUCUUUAAGUGGGUUCAGUAUGCUAUGCCUUUUCAUUCAAAGAUUUUGAAACCAAAUAGGAGGUUGCCUUUUGAGACUGCUCUGGAAAGAAUGUCUUGUGGUGAAUAUCAAACCACCUGAACAAACAGGAGCACCAUGUGCGUCUCCCCUGGAGGGCUUUCUCAGGGUAGAAGGUGGAGAAGCCACUCUCUUCAUCUCUAGAAAUGCUGAGAGGAGUUUAUUUUCUUAAGAAAGAUAUGACCCCAUUUGGGCCUGCCUGGUACCCUGUCUAAAUCUUUGGAGAGAAAGAUGUGGCAGAUCUGCUAUGAAUCACAGAGACUGACUUCAGGAGGGAUUACCAUGCCAGACUUGGGAAUGAGCUAUUAGAUGCCAUUAAUUUCUCACCAGUCCUAUUUUGAUUGCUGCAAUAGAAGCAGAAACAGGAAAAGUAUAAUGGACCACUGAAUAAGGAAAAGAAUACAGACUGCUAUUGAUUUGCACAUCUUUGAAAGAACAGGGAAAGAAGGGGAAAUUAUAUAAUAAACAAGAUUGAUCUUUAUAACUGAGAAACUUCCUAGGUUAAAAUACUUUUUCAACCAAGUUACUAUGGCAUUUAGCUACAGGUAUUCAAAUGGAUCUGCACUCUAACCCUUCAGGGAAUGAUAUUCUUUUUAAAAAUUAAAAAACAAAAAUGUAAACAAAGUCUGGGCCAUGACAAAACUUGGGGUUCAAAACUCAAUAUGAGUUGGCCACGUGGGUGGCAGGGACCCAAGUAUUUGAUUCAUCAUCUGUCGCCUCCCAGAGGUGCACAUUAACAGGAAGCUGGCUCAGAAAUGGAGGAGCGAGGCCUCACCCAGAUACUCCAAUCUAGAAUAUUGGCAUCCCAAGUGGUAUCUUAACUGCUGUGCCAAAUGCCAAUCAUAGGGAACAGUUAGUCUCAAUCUGGGGUUGGGAUACUCCUUGAACUAGAUUAUGUGAGAAGACUUUGCAGUAGGCUAUAAAAUGGCUCCCCAAAACAUAUUUACCUCCUAGUCCAUGGAAAACAUAAAUGUUAGUUUAUUUUAAACAGGAUUUUUGUAGAUGUGAUUAAAUUAAGGAUUUUGAGAUGAAAAGUUUAUCCUGGAUAAUCUAAGUAGACCCUAUAAACUCACAGGUACCUUUAUAUGAGAGAGGCAGAGGAAACUGUACUGAUGGAAGAGGAGGUGGCAAUGUGACCACAAAGGCAGAUGUUGGAGUAAGGUCAAAAGUCAAGCUAUCUGAAGCUACAAGAGGCAAGGGAUGCAUUUUCUCCUAGAUGAGGCCUCUGGAGGGGAUGCAGCCUAGCAGAUAGCCUGAUUCUGGCCUACUGAUACUGAUUUUGGACUUCUAACCUCUAAAACUUGAGGCAAUAUCACCAAGUUUGUGAUUAUUUUUUUACAGCAACCCAGGACACAAAUGAAAUCCUGAAAUAUGACCAUUGAUAAGUUACUAGGAGCUUAGUGCCAUCAAUGAGGAAGUGUAUAAGUUGGGGGAAGCUGAUGGCAAUGGUUUGCUGGAGUCUAGAAUCAGGAAGUAACAGGCAGCAGAGAGGACUGACAUAACAAGAAGAGAGAAGAUAUCUGAAGCAGCUGAGGCUGGGCCAGGCCAAAGCUGGAAACACAAUCCAGGUUUUCUAUAUGGAUGGCAGAAACCCAGUUACUUGAGCUGUCACAAGGGUCUGCAUUAACAGGAAGUCCGAAUCAGAAAGCAGAGCCAGAAAUCAAACCCAGGUACUCUCAUAUUUUAGGUCACUUGAGUCUCCAACCAACAUUAACUUGCUUGGAUCCACACUGAUGUUUUCUGGAAAGAUUGGUAAGAAAUGGUAAACAAUUACUUCUGGUAUGUAUGAUUUGAGGUUGGAGGAAUGGGGAAGAGCACUUUCAUGUUUGACCUUGUGGUUUUACCUAUACUUCUGGAAUUUCAAAGUUCUUAUCUUGGUCAUGUAUUAUUUUUGUAAUUGUUGUUAAAGGCAGUUUUCCUGCAUUGAUGGAAAAGUGAGUUGAUAGAGUUCUGUUAUGAAACUCUAAUUCCAAGGUCAAUAGCUUAGACUGAAAGUUGGAGAAAGAGAACAUUGAAUAAUGUUUUUGAGCAGAAAUUAGGAGGAAAAACCCUCAUAGGAUUUGUGGGUUGAGAUAGAAGGAGGAAGACAUUCUGGAAGACCAGUGUGGUCUGGUAUGUGUAGUUGGAUGAAUGGUAGAGUUGGUCACACAAACUGGGAAGGGUGGAGGAGGUCAAUCUCUUGCUGGUUUUCCUGCCGUUGCCUAACAGUAGGAUAGGGCUGUUCACAAUCUGCUGUCCCUUGUCUUAUGCAGGACUUUCAUUCUAUGAAGGAACCUGCUAGAUAAAUGAAUUAAAUCCAAGAAUAAAUGAAGGGGUAAUGUAGAAUAUGAAAACACUUGCUUGAAUUUUCCAAAUAGGAAUGUUUUAUCAUGGUGCAGGCAUUUUCUUCAAAGUAUCUUCAAAAUUUUACUUCUGAUGUAUAGAACCAAAAGUAUAUUGGGAAGCCUAUACAGUAUUUAUAACAAAUUU